rnacentral:lncRNA from 1 species
AGAAAAAGCUUGUUGAUCUUGGAUAAUCUUUGUGUCAACUUGAUGGAUUUAAAAUAGGCAUCGUCUUUCAGCAACAUGAUGGACUGAAACAGACAGUGGCCUUCAAGUGAUGUUGAGAGGACCACUUGAAUGGCUGAUCCUGAAGAAUGUGAGGAAUGACUGACUCUCUACUUCCUCUUCAAAUCUGGGGGAAUGCUAAACGUGACUCUCGUGUGGGAUACACAGUUAGUGAUAUCUGAGUUGGAAAAAAUGUACACCUUGAGCCAUCUGCUUGCCACCAGUCCCCAAAGCAUCUUUCCGACGCUGAGAAGCCAUGUUGGAACCUAAGAUUUUGCUCCACUGACUUAACCCCAAUGUUAAGCUAACAAUUUUUACAAGGAAGCGUCUGGAAAGAAUGAGAAGAGUUUCUUCAACCAUGUCAAAACUCAAGCAAAUGUAUUCAUAGCUCUUUGAUAUGUCAUGAUUGCCCUUCAGAUAAAUGUAAUCUAAGAGAUAUCUCUAUUUGUAGAAACUAAAAGAAUUCUACCCAAAAUGUGUCCUGCCUGCAAAUUGUGCAGGGGAAAAAGUAAAGCAGAGACUGAGGGAAUGGCCAACCAAUGUCUCAGACUGACACCUACACUGCUUUACUGGGCAUCCAGCAUCCAGCAGAUCAUGAAAUUUCCUGGCCUCCGUAGGCAUCUAUAGAUGUAUCAAAAAAGCUCUUCAGAGGACAGCCAAAGAAUGCUGAAGACUUCAAGAGGAGUCGAUCUUUCUGGUGAUACUUGGAGGUUGCUUGAAGGUCCACCAUAAAUAAAAGGUCAAUGGCGGGCCAUAUACAAAGCCUGGAUGAAAACUCACCAGCUUCGUGUUUCUCUCUUUGCAAUGAGACCUUUGGUUCCAGUUUCCAAGAGC